GCCGUUCUCAGUUCGGAUCGGAGUCUGCAACCCGACUCCGUGAAGCUGGAUUCGCUAGUAAUCGCGCAUCAGCCAUGGCGCGGUGAAUACGUUCCCGGGCCUUGUACACACCGCCCGUCAAGCCAUGGAAGCCGGGGGUGCCUGAAGUGCGCUGCCGCAAGGAGCGCCCUAGGGUAAAACCGGUGACUGGGGCUAAGUCGUAACAAGGUAGC
rnacentral:rRNA from 1 species